rnacentral:rRNA from 1 species
CGAGCGCGAAAACACUUCGGUGUGAGUAGAGCGGCGGACGGGUGAGUAAUGCUUGGGAAUCUGCCCAAUAGUGGGGGAUAGCCCGGGGAAACUCGGAUUAAUACCGCAUACGCCCCACGGGGGAAAGGCCGGGAUCUUCGGACCGGUCACUAUUGGAGGAGCCUGCGUAGGAUUAGCUAGUUGGUGAGGUAAAGGCUCACUAAGCCGACGAUCAGUAGCUGGUCUGAGAGGACGAUCAGCCACACUGGAACUGAGACACGGCCCAAACUCC